GACGAAGGACCCAAGCGUUAUCCGGAUUUAUUGGGUUUAAAGGGUGCGUAGGCGGGUUGUUAAGUCAGUGGUGAAAGCCUAGAGCUUAACUCUAGAAUUGCCAUUGAUACUGACGAUCUUGAGGAUAGUUGAGGUGGGCGGAAUGUAUCAUGUAGCGGUGAAAUGCUUAGAGAUGAUACAGAACACCGAUUGCGAAGGCAGCUCACUAAGCUAUUUCUGACGCUGAGGCACGAAAGCGUGGGGAUCAAACAGG
rnacentral:rRNA from 1 species